rnacentral:rRNA from 2 species
CGUAACUAUAACGGUCCUAAGGUAGCGAAAUUCCUUGUCGGGUAAGUUCCGACCUGCACGAAUGGCGUAAUGAUGGCCAGGCUGUCUCCACCCGAGACUCAGUGAAAUUGAACUCGCUGUGAAGAUGCAGUGUACCCGCGGCAAGACGGAAAGACCCCGUGAACCUUUACUAUAGCUUGACACUGAACAUUGAGCCUUGAUGUGUAGGAUAGGUGGGAGGCUUUGAAGCGUGGACGCCAGUCUGCGUGGAGCCGACCUUGAAAUACCACCCUUUAAUGUUUGAUGUUCUAACGUGGACCCGUUACCCGGGUUGCGGACAGUGUCUGGUGGGUAGUUUGACUGGGGCGGUCUCCUCCUAAAGAGUAACGGAGGAGCACGAAGGUUGGCUAAUCCUGGUCGGACAUCAGGAGGUUAGUGCAAUGGCAUAAGCCAGCUUGACUGCGAGCGUGACGGCGCGAGCAGGUGCGAAAGCAGGUCAUAGUGAUCCGGUGGUUCUGAAUGGAAGGGCCAUCGCUCAACGGAUAAAAGGUACUCCGGGGAUAACAGGCUGAUACCGCCCAAGAGUUCAUAUCGACGGCGGUGUUUGGCACCUCGAUGUCGGCUCAUCACAUCCUGGGGCUGAAGUAGGUCCCAAGGGUAUGGCUGUUCGCCAUUUAAAGUGGUACGCGAGCUGGGUUUAGAACGUCGUGAGACAGUUCGGUCCCUAUCUGCCGUGGGCGCUGGAGAACUGAGGGGGGCUGCUCCUAGUACGAGAGGACCGGAGUGGACGCAUCACUGGUGUUCGGGUUGUCAUGCCAAUGGCACUGCCCGGUAGCUAAAUGCGGAAGAGAUAAGUGCUGAAAGCAUCUAAGCACGAAACUUGCCCCGA